AUGUACUCGAUGCCGAACGGAGAGCAGUACCAGGAAGGAGUUGAGAGUGAUGGUGAGAGCGGUGAUUAUCAGUAUGCGUACGACAGCGAGGAGGACAGUGAGGACUCUGGUAGCAGCAAGGAAGUCGACUCGCCGCUCCGCUCUGAGCGGCGCUCCAAGCAGUCACAGGAUCCCGCGGGAGGACGCGGCAAAGCGGUCUCACCGAGUGAGAAAAUGCCGAAGCGCACUCGGACCUCGACUCCGGAUCCAUCGGAGAAGGCCGCGAAACAACCCAAAGUUGUCCCACCGAAACCCCGGAAGGCCCUGCCCAGGAUCAAGGUGGUUGUUCCUGUUGCUUCAGCUGCUGCUACUUCUGCAACAUCCAUGGACAUCGACGAGGAGCAUGGUGAUGCGGAAACCGCGGAUGCGGCCACCUCUCGGGCAGUACCAACGAAUGUUAUCCAGCUUCCGGAUGAUGAUGAUGAUGAAGUGCUUCAGAGGAAUACAGGGAGGAAGAGUAGGACUUCGAGCAGGAGGGUGCCCGCAAGCAAAGUGUCUCGCUCGGCGUCUGAGCCUGUAGUUCAGCAACUUGGUGAUCCAGUUCGGACUACUGUCUCUUUUGCUGAUCCUUUGUCGACUGACCAGCCCACGGCGUCGACUGCUCAGGCUUCUGGCUCGACUGUCCCGACUGCUCCGCCUCAGGCUCCAACUCCACCAGCUCCGUCCUCAGCUCCAUUUGUUCUGCAUCACGUCCCCGAGGACCAAACAGGGGCCGCCAAGGAAGCUAUGAUCCAGGCGGGUCUGAUGAUGGAUCGACUGAAGGUGGUGUACGACACCAGCAAGGCCGCCUAUGAUGCUAGCUCUGCCCUCCAAGCCAAUGUCCGAAAAGCUUGUGAACUUGGGACCAAGUACGCCGAUUUGGAGAAGAAGCAGAUCCAACUCAAUCUCGACCUGGAGUUAGCCAAGGAGAACCUGAAGAAAGCCCGGGAUGAAGCAGAUGUCAUGGGAGACAAAAUGAAGCAGGCUUUGGAGCAGAAGGACCUUGAUCUAGCCACGGCACAAAAGACGGUGCGUGAGAAAACUGAACUUGCUGGCAGGAAGCUGGCUUCAGUCGGAAAGUUAGAAGAGGAAAACGCCAAGCUGAAGACUGCUGUUGACGAGGCAAAGAAAGAAGUUGUGCAGCUGAAGGAGGAGAAGGUGGCCUUGGCUAACAAAGUGGAUGUUCUCACUCGGAAGAGGGAUGAACUAGAAGCUUAUCUGGGCGGUCUUGCCAAGAAGAUGUUCCUCAUGCUUGAAGAAUUCUAUCAAAACUUCGAAGAAGAAACCGGGCGGAUCGAGACUGGACUGGACCCUAUCAACUCCCCUGUCAAGGAUGAAGCUGCCAUGAACGUGGUGCGACUGGAAUCUCGCCUUGCCAGUGUCUUGGACUACCUCGCCCGACUAAAAGUGGCACUGUCGCGGAUCAACAAGGAGCUGUGGCCAGAAGAUGUGUUUCAGAAUGAUCUCGAGUCACUGAUGACUCGACUUAAUGACAUCCCUAACCGUGUGCAGGCAUGGAAGAAGUCAUCUGCUCGCUGCGGUACUGACGUGGCUUUAUCUCUCGUUCGUGUUCAUUGCAAGGAUGCCAAGGAGGAAAAGUUGAAAGCUCUUCAGGUGGCCAACACCAAGAAGCUUCAAUUUCAGUCUUUCAUGGAGACCUUCAUCGACGCAGCCACUCGCAUCGCAAACGGCAUUGACUUGGACACUUUUGUCGAGCCAGCAAGUCCUCCCGCCGAGUGA
rnacentral:rRNA from 1 species